GGAGGACCGCCCUCGGGGCGCGGACGGGCUGUUUUCAGGUGAAUAAGAAAGUGACGGUACCUGAGGAAUCAGCCUCGGCUAACUCCGUGGGGGCGGCCGCGGUAAUACGGAGGAGGCAAGCGUUAUCCGGAAUGAUUGGGCGUAAAGCGUCCGCAGGUGGCUGUUCAAGUCUGCUGUUAAAUCCAGUAGCUUAACUACUGACAAGCAGUGGAAACUGAAGAGCUCGAGCGCGGUUGGGGCAGAGGGAAUUCCUGGUGUAUGCGGUGAAAUGCGUAGAGAUCAUGAAGAACACCGGUGGCGAAAGCGCUCUGCUGGGCCGCAACUGACACUCAGGGACGAAAGCUAGGGGAGCGAAUGGGAUUAGAUACCCCAGUA
rnacentral:rRNA from 1 species